ACAGAAGGAUUGUGUAAGCUGAAC
rnacentral:piRNA from 1 species